AAAAUUUGGCAUUGUUUGGGUCAAUUAAUGAGAAUAGACAGGAAAGAGAGACUCGAUUUGGUUUCAUAAGAGUUGGGAUUUGAUCCAUUGAUGAUCAUAUUAACUAGUACACAGAUCAAAGAAGGGAGAUUAACAAUCAUGGAGAGAGAAAAAGAAAUAAAUUUAUAGAAAUUAAAUAAACAAAUAAACAAUGAAGGAGAUGGAAAGAAAACAGAGAGGAAGAAAGAGAA
rnacentral:lncRNA from 1 species